rnacentral:miRNA from 1 species
GUCUAUAGCCAUACCACCCUGAACAAGCCUGAUCUCGUCUGAUCUCGGAAGCUAAGCAGGGUCGGGCCUGGUUAGUACUUGGAUG